rnacentral:rRNA from 1 species
AUUGAACGCUGGCGGCAGGCCUAACACAUGCAAGUCGAACGAGUGGCGGACGGGUGAGUAAUGUCUGGGAAAAUGCCCGAUGGAGGGGGAUAACUACUGGAAACGGUAGCCAAUACCGCCUACCAUCGGAUGUGCCCAGAUGGGAGUCGCUAGUAGGUGGGGUAACGGCUCACCUAGGCGACGAUCCCUAGCUGGUCUGAGAUGAUGACCAGCCACACUGGAACUGAGACACGGUCCAGAAUCCGACGGGAGGCAGCAGUGGGGAAUAUUGGACAAUGGGCGAAAGCCUGAUCCAGCCAUGCCGCGUGUGUGAAGAAGGUCUUCGGAUUGUAAAGCACUUUAAGUUGGGAGGCGUUACCGACAGAAUAAGCACCGGCUAACUCUGUGCCAGCAGCCGCGGUAAUUC